GGUUGGGUUUUAUAAAAACUUUCAAGAUUUGCUUAUUUGGGUCAAUAAGU
rnacentral:ncRNA from 22 species